rnacentral:rRNA from 1 species
GACGAACGCUGGCGGCGUGCUUAACACAUGCAAGUCGAGCGGUAAGGCCCUUUCGGGGUACGACGAGCGGCGAACGGGUGAGUAACACGUGGGUGACCUGCCCUCAGCUCUGGGAUAAGCCCGGGAAACUGGGUCUAAUACUGGAUAUGACUCCAUGACGCAUGUUGUGGGGUGGAAAGCCUUGUGCGGCUGAGGAUGGGCCCGCGGCCUAUCAGCUUGUUGGUGGGGGAUGGCCUACCAAGGCGACGACGGGUAGCCGGCCUGAGAGGGCGACCGGCCACACUGGGACUGAGACACGGCCCAGACUCCUACGGGAGGCAGCAGUGGGGAAUCUUGCGCAAUGGGCGAAAGCCUGACGCAGCGACGCCGCGUGAGGGAUGACGGCCU